rnacentral:piRNA from 5 species
UCAGUGGUAGAAUUCUCGCCUGCCA